rnacentral:rRNA from 1 species
CCUACGGGCGGCAGCAGUGGGGAAUAUUGGACAAUGGGGGCAACCCUGAUCCAGCCAUGCCGCGUGUGUGAAGAAGGCCCUCGGGUUGUAAAGCACUUUCAGUGAGGAAGAACGCCUGGUGGUUAAUACCCAUCAGGAAAGACAUCACUCACAGAAGAAGCACCGGCUAACUCCGUGCCAGCAGCCGCGGUAAUACGGAGGGUGCGAGCGUUAAUCGGAAUUACUGGGCGUAAAGCGCGCGUAGGUGGCUUGAUAAGCCGGUUGUGAAAGCCCCGGGCUCAACCUGGGAACGGCAUCCGGAACUGUCAAGCUAGAGUGCAGGAGAGGAAGGUAGAAUUCCCGGUGUAGCGGUGAAAUGCGUAGAGGUCGGGAGGAAUACCAGUGGCGAAGGCGGCCUUCUGGACUGACACUGACACUGAGGUGCGAAAGCGUGGGUAGCAAACAGGAUUAGAUACCCCAGUAGUC